UGCUUUGACUCUCCCUAGAUCUAAUCGUGACCGUUGAAUAAGAUCCAACGGUCCGAGCGGCUUCUCAUUCCUCCCGAUGGCCAGAGACGAGGGAGAAGUGGCCAGCGACGGCGCGCCAUGGCCGGACCCCUCCCCCUCCCCCACACACAGCUACACAAACUCGAAUCCCACGGGUGCUACACGAUGAGAAGGCGAAGGUGAACACCAAGGGAAGGUCUUACCAAGGAAUUGGAGGGCGCAGAGACCUGGCGUCGAAGAAGGGCAGCACAGUGGGGGAAGACGGAGCUUCGGCGACAAUUCCGAACACUACGAUGACCCCCGAGCCCACCCAGAUGCUAAUAUACGAUCCCUGAGCUUCGGCGGACCACCACGACCCAACACAGAGGCCGGAGCAAUGCUGGGGAUCCAAUUCAACGGCGGCGGCGGAGGCUUUUCCCCGCACAAAUGGCGGCGGUUUUAGGGACGCGAUUUCGGUAGAGCGAGGGCCAUGUACCCGCCUAUUUAUACCCGGGGCAAUAUCUUCGCACGGAAUUUUCGCCAGGAUCCAACGGAUAGAGCCAAGAUCAGUCGGCCUCCCGGAGAUUUUGUUGCGCUUCCCACGGAGUCGCGUGGGGUUGU
rnacentral:lncRNA from 7 species